UACGUAGGGUGCGAGCGUUGUCCGGAAUUAUUGGGCGUAAAGAGCUCGUAGGCGGUCUGUCGCGUCGAAUGUGAAAACCCGAGGCUCAACUCCGGGCUUGCAUUCGAUACGGGCAGGCUAGAGUUCGGUAGGGGAGUCUGGAAUUCCUGGUGUAGCGGUGAAAUGCGCAGAUAUCAGGAGGAACACCGGUGGCGAAGGCGGGACUCUGGGCCGAUACUGACGCUGAGGAGCGAAAGCGUGGGGAGCGAACAGG
rnacentral:rRNA from 1 species